GGGGGUAUAGAUUCCCUCUGUGUCGCAGUUAACGCGUUAAGCAUCCCGCAUGGGGAGUACGGUCGCAAGGCUGAUACUCUCACGAGUUGACGGGGGCCCGCACAAGCAGCGGAGCGUGUGGUGUAAUUCGAUGCUACACGAAGAACCUUACCUGGGCUUGACAUGUAUGUGGUAGUGAAGUGAAAGCGGAUCGACCCCUCGGGGAGCAUACACAGGUGCUGCAUGGCUGUCGUCAGCUCGUGCCGUGAGGUGUCGGGUUAAGUCCCGUAACGAGCGCAACCCCUGUCCUUAGUUACAAGUGUUUAGGGAGACUGCCGCCGGUAAGCCGGAGGAAGGUGGGGAUGACGUCAAGUCAGCAUGGCCUUUAUGUCCAGGGCUACACACACGCUACAAUGGCCGGUACAAUGGGUUGCCAAACCGUGAGGUGGAGCCAAUCCCGUAAAGCCGGUCUCAGUUCGAAUUGUAGACUGCAACUCGUCUACAUGAAGUCGGAGUUGCUAGUAAUCGCGGAUCAGCAUAUCCGCGCUGAGUAUGUUCUCCGGGCGUUGUACACACCGCCCGUCACGUCAUGGAGGCUGCGACACCUGAGGCCGCUGAGCCAACCCGAAAGGGAGUAGCUGUCGAAGGUGGGGCUGGAGACUGGGACGAAGUCG
rnacentral:rRNA from 1 species